rnacentral:rRNA from 1 species
AACGAACGCUGGCGGCAGGCCUAACACAUGCAAGUCGAACGCUGUAGCAAUACAGAGUGGCAGACGGGUGAGUAACGCGUGGGAACCUUCCCAGUGGUGCGAAAUAGCUCAGGGAAACUUGAGGUGAUACCGCAUAAGCCCCUAGGGGGAAAGAUUUAUCGCCAUUGGAUGGGCCCGCGUCGGAUUAGCUAGUUGGUGAGGUAAUGGCUCACCAAGGCAACGAUCCGAGCUGGUUUGAGAGAAUGACCAGCCACACUGGGACUGAGACACGGCCCAGACUCCUACGGGAGGCAGCAGUGGGGAAUCUUGGACAAUGGCGCAAGCCUGAUCCAGCCAUGCCGCGUGAGUGACGAAGGCCUUAGGGUUGUAAGCUCUUUUGCCGGGGGACGAUAAUGACGGUACCCGGAGAAUAAGUCCCGG